UUCAAGUAUUGAAAGAUCCCCGAAGGGAGACCCUUACUCAAGUCUCGGGAAGUCACGGACCCCACACACACAGAGACCA
rnacentral:pre_miRNA from 14 species